rnacentral:rRNA from 1 species
GAUCCUGGCUCAGAUUGAACGCUGGCGGCAGGCCUAACACAUGCAAGUCGAACGGUAACAGGAAGAAGCUUGCUUCUUUGCUGACGAGUGGCGGACGGGUGAGUAAUGUCUGGGAAACUGCCUGAUGGAGGGGGAUAACUACUGGAAACGGUAGCUAAUACCGCAUAACGUCGCAAGACCAAAGAGGGUCGUACGUCGGCU